rnacentral:rRNA from 1 species
AUGGCGAGGAGCGCGAGGCCGGUGCGGUGGCCGCGGGUGCUGGCGCCAGCGCACCUGGCCGGGGCCAUCCGGCGGUAGAAGAGCCCGGUCAAGGCGGCGCAGCUGUACGUCGAUGCGCCGGGCUGGUACCCGCGCGGCUCCUACCGCCACAGCAACGCCGUCCACGCCUCGCUCUUCGCCGCCGCCUUGUCCUCCCCCGCGCUGCUCCCCUCGCUCCUCCGCCGCGUCCUACGACACUCCCCCUCGGCGGACGCCCUCCUCGUCGUGUCCAUCCUGCACCUCCCUCCCGCGGACGCCGCCUCCAUAUUCUGCUCCUUGCUCCCCGCCUCCCCCGCCCCGUCCUGGUCCCUCUCCUUCUCCGCGCUGCUCCGCCGCCUCCUCGACCGCGGCCUCCUCCCUGAGGCUGCCAGCCUCCUCGCCGACUUCCAGGGGCGCCCCAAGGUGUCCGUAGCGUCCGAAGAUCUCACUCUGCUCAUCUCGGAGAUGUGCCGCCUGCGGCGCCCUGACCUCGUGCUCCAGGUGCUCGAGGAAAUGUCUAAUCAGUGUCUUGAGCCGGACAGAGGUGCCUACCACGUGAUCGUUCCCGCGCUCUGUGAUGCUGGUAUGCUUGACAAGGCUAUGCACAUUGUCUACUCCAUGCUGUGGUGAGUGUCGCAACGGGGCUGUGACGGGGAUGUGGUGGUGUUCCGGGCGUUGCUGGUCACGCUCUGUGCUGCUGGCCGAGGCGAGCUGGCAGAGCAAGUGCUGGAUAAGAUUAUCAGGAAGGGGCUGAGGAUGCCAGGUAGUAGGCGUUCUCUUCGCGUGCCAAUGCUUGUUGUGCUUGCCUUCGAGGAUGCCCGGGAAGCCAUUGACCGUGCUUUGGUUGUCCGUGGUGGGCAGAUUGUUGCAAGCUUUGAAUCCAUUAUUCUUGAUCUUUAUGACGAGAGACGGUUGAAUGAGGCAGACAAUUUGUCUCAGGACAUGGGCAAAAAGGGGUUCAAGCCGACAAUAUGCAUGUUUGAAGCCAAAAUCGUCGUCGAUCCGCGAUGCCAUAGCCUCCCCGCACCCGCUCUCCUGCUGCAUCUCGGAGAUUCAGGAGGCGGAGGUCGAUGGGCGAUGGAGCUGCAGCUACGUCGGAAGGAUGGUGACGCCGACGGUUGGUAG